rnacentral:rRNA from 1 species
GACGAACGCUGGCGGCGUGCUUAACACAUGCAAGUCGAACGGAAAGGCCCUGCUUUUGUGGGGUGCUCGAGUGGCGAACGGGUGAGUAACACGUGAGUAACCUGCCCUUGACUUUGGGAUAACUUCAGGAAACUGGGGCUAAUACCGGAUAGGAGCUCCUGCUGCAUGGUGGGGGUUGGAAAGUUUCGGCGGUUGGGGAUGGACUCGCGGCUUAUCAGCUUGUUGGUGGGGUAGUGGCUUACCAAGGCUUUGACGGGUAGCCGGCCUGAGAGGGUGACCGGCCACAUUGGGACUGAGAUACGGCCCAGACUCCUACGGGAGGCAGCAGUGGGGAAUAUUGCACAAUGGGCGGAAGCCGGAUGCAGCAACGCCGCGUGCGGGAGGACGGCAUUCGGGUUGUAAACCGCUUUCGCCUGUGACGAAGCGUGAGGGACGGUAAUGGGUAAAGAAGCACCGGCUAACUACGG